UCUGGAAGUUCAGGGAAGGUUUAAACGGUCAGAAACAUAAAUUAUAAGUAACGGAAAAUAUUAAAAACGAUAAUUUAAUUUUCCGAUACAAAAUGUUCCUAGCUGUGAAAAAUUUGAUUGUUUUAAUGGCUUUCA